GAGUUUGAUCUUGGCUCAGAACGAACGCUGGCGGCAGGCUUAACACAUGCAAGUCGAACGCCCCUUUCGGGGGGAGUGGCAGACGGGUGAGUAACGCGUGGGAACGUGCCCUUCAGUUCGGAAUAACCCAGGGAAACUUGGGCUAAUACCGGAUACGUGCGAGAGCAGAAAGAUUUAUCGCUGAAGGAUCGGCCCGCGUCUGAUUAGCUAGUUGGUGAGGUAAUGGCUCACCAAGGCGACGAUCAGUAGCUGGUCUGAGAGGAUGAUCAGCCACAUUGGGACUGAGACACGGCCCAAACUCCUACGGGAGGCAGCAGUGGGAAUAUUGGACAAUGGGCGCAAGCCUGAUCCAGCCAUGCCGCGUGAGUGAUGACGGCCUUAGGGUUGUAAAGCUCUUUCGUCCGGGACGAUAAUGACGGUACCGGAAGAAGAAG
rnacentral:rRNA from 1 species